UACAGAGGGUGCAAGCGUUAAUCGGAAUUACUGGGCGUAAAGGGUGCGUAGGUGGUUUGUUAAGUCAGGUGUGAAAUCCCUGGGCUCAACCUGGGAACUGCAUUUGAUACUGGCAGACUCGAGUCUGGUAGAGGGUGGUGGAAUUCCUCGUGUAGCGGUGAAAUGCGUAGAGAUGAGGAGGAACACCAGUGGCGAAGGCGGCCACCUGGACAGUAACUGACGCUGAGGCGCGAAAGCGUGGGUAGCAAACAGG
rnacentral:rRNA from 1 species